UACAGGGGGUGCUAGCGUUGUUCGGAAUUACUGGGCGUAAAGGGCGCGUAGGCUGUUUAACAAGUCUGUUGUGAAAUCCUGGGGCUUAACUCCAGACGUGCAAUGGAAACUGUUAGACUAGAGUGCGGUAGAGGUUGGUGGAAUUCCCAGUGUAGAGGUGAAAUUCGUAGAUAUUGGGAGGAACACCGGUGGCGAAGGCGGGUCUCUGGGCCAUAACUGACGCUGAGGAGCGAAAGCGUGGGGAGCGAACAGG
rnacentral:rRNA from 1 species